AAUUUGGAGCUCCGUAGCUCCAGAAUAAAAUAAUUUAGUGACUCUGACUCAGAUGGGCAACUUUAAAUUUACAUAUAAGUGAGUAAUGAAAUUAUGUAUAAUGUCAUUAAGCGUGUUAUAUACAUUAAGGAUGUAGAAUGGAGAGGAGGAGGAGGAGGACAAUAAAAUAUAUGAAUGAAUUGUGUAUAAAUGGUUAUAUGCCCGAUUAUAAUAGGUCAAUGGUAAAUUGAAUGGUAAAUACGUAUUGGUAUUGAAAGAAUUAUUGCGGUAUUGAAAAGCAAUUGAUCAAAUGUUUAAGAAAUUUAGUCAUGGUAUAUAUAUAUGUGUGUGUGGUAAUUUUGAUAUAUGGAUGUAUUUUGGUUGUGGAUUGAUCAUGAUGAUAAAUGUUAGGUAUAUUUGGUCUAUUAAGUGACAUAAUUGAGAAGUAUGAUAAGUGGGUCAUUCUAUGUGUGAGAU
rnacentral:lncRNA from 1 species